AUUCACUGAUCAGGACAGAACGCAGACAACUCACCAUGGAGUUUAGGCUGACCUGGGUUUUCCUUGUUGCUGUUUUAAAAGGUGUCCAGUCUGAGGUGCAGCUGGUGGAGUCUGGGGCAGACCAGGUGAAGCCUGGGGAUCCCUGAGACUCUCCUGUGCAGCCCUGGAUUCACUUUCAGCAGCUACUACAUGCACUGAGUCUGCCAGGCUCCGGGCAGGAGGCUGUAGUGGGUCGCAUGGAUUAGGUAUGAUGGAAGUAGCACAAGCUAUGCAGACUCUAUGAAGGGUCGAUUCACCAUCUCCAGAGACAACGGCAAGAACACGCUGUAUCUGAACAGCCUGAGAGCCGAGAAAACGGCCGUGUAUUACUGUGCGAAGGACACAGUGAGGGGACGUCAAUGUGAGCCCAGACAAAAACCUCACUGUAGAAGGGGAUCUGGACCACCAGAGAGUACACAAUACUCAGCCAUUCUGUCUUUCAGCCCCUGGUGCAGCUUUAUGCACUUUGCAUCACAGAACCACCCAGCUCAACAAUGCAAGCUUGUUAGAAGCAGCAUAAAGUGCAUGCUGGACAUGAGGCUACAGAGCCAUCAACAAUCCAAAGCAAAAGAAGAAGGAUCCAUGGUGGCAGUCACUGUCUUGAACCAUGCACACAGCCAUGUUAGUGACAGCAUGAGAAAGCAGUGA